GAUGAACGCUGGCGGCGUGCCUAAUACAUGCAAGUCGAGCGAACAGACGAGGAGCUUGCUCCUCUGACGUUAGCGGCGGACGGGUGAGUAACACGUGGAUAACCUACCUAUAAGACUGGGAUAACUUCGGGAAACCGGAGCUAAUACCGGAAAAUAUAUUGAACCGCAUGGUUCAAUAGUGAAAGACGGUUUUGCUGUCACUUCUAGAUGGAUCCGCGCCGCAUUAGCUAGUUGGUAAGGUAACGGCUUACCAAGGCAACGAGGCGUAGCCGACCUGAGAGGGUGAUCGGCAACACGUGAACUGAGACAGAGCACAGACAUCUGCGGGAGGCAGCAGUAGGGAAUCUUCCGCAAUGGGCGAAAGCGUGACGGAGCAACGCCGCGUGAGUGAUGAAGGUCUUAGGAUCGUAGAACUAUGUUAGUAGGGAAGAACAAAUGUGUAAGUAACUAUGCACGUCUUGACGGUACCUAAUCAGAAAGCCACGGCUAACUACGUG
rnacentral:rRNA from 1 species